rnacentral:rRNA from 1 species
GACGAACGCUGGCGGCGUGCCUAAUACAUGCAAGUCGAGCGCAGGAAACUGACGGAACUCUUCGGAGGGAAGGCAGUGGAAUGAGCGGCGGACGGGUGAGUAACACGUAAGGAACCUGCCUCAAGGAUUGGGAUAACUCCGAGAAAUCGGAGCUAAUACCGGAUAGUUCAACGGACCGCAUGGUCCGCUGAUGAAAGGCGCUUCGGCGUCACCUUGAGAUGGCCUUGCGGUGCAUUAGCUAGUUGGUGGGGUAACGGCCCACCAAGGCGACGAUGCAUAGCCGACCUGAGAGGGUGAUCGGCCACACUGGGACUGAGACACGGCCCAGACUCCUACGGGAGGCAGCAGUAGGGAAUCUUCCACAAUGGACGAAAGUCUGAUGGAGCAACGCCGCAUGAGUGAUGAAGGUUUUCGGAUCGUAAAACUCUGUUGUAAGGGAAGAACACGUACGAGAGGAAAUGCUCGUACCUUGACGGUACCUUACGAGAAAGCCACGGCUAACUACGUGCCAGCCGCCGCAGUAA